UGGGGAAUAUUGCACAAUGGGGGAAACCCUGAUGCAGCCAUGCCGCGUGAAUGAAGAAGGCCUUCGGGUUGUAAAGUUCUUUCGGUGAUGAGGAAGGCUACUGAUUUAAUAGAUUAGUAGAUUGACGUUAGUCACAGAAGAAGCACCGGCUAACUCCGUGCCAGCAGCCGCGGUAAUACGGAGGGUGCGAGCGUUAAUCGGAAUAACUGGGCGUAAAGGGUACGUAGGCGGUAACUUAAGUGAGGUGUGAAAUCCCUGGGCUCAACCUAGGAAUUGCACUUCAUACUGGGUUGCUAGAGUAUUUUAGGGAGGGGUAGAAUUCCACGUGUAGCGGUGAAAUGCGUAGAGAUGUGGAGGAAUACCGAAGGCGAAGGCAGCCCCUUGGGAAUAUACUGACGCUCAAGUACGAAAGCGUGGGGAGCAAACA
rnacentral:rRNA from 1 species